rnacentral:lncRNA from 1 species
AAAAAAAAAUCAUGGAAUGGUUUGAUUUGGAAGGGACCUUGGAGCGCUCAUCGCGUUCCGCUCUCCGUCAUGGGUAGGGACAUCUACCACUAUCCCAGGCUGCUCCGACCUGGCCUGGAACGCUUCCAGGGAUGGGGUAUCCAAAUGGCCCAGGGGUGCUCUGUGCCUGUGAGCGUUCCCAGCGGCAGCGGCAGCAAUUCCGGCUCCUGCGGGGCAGCUCCAGUGUGGGCUGAGCAGCUCUGGGCUCUCGGCUCUCCCCGUGCCAGCCCCACGCUGGGCCGGCUCCGCAAACAGCCGGGGGAGCGGAUGAGGGCAGGGGCCGAUCCCGGCGGGGGUACGCCGAGAUUUACACAGGCGCUUUCUCCAGCCAGCAUCCUGCUGCGGCCGGGACAUCCGAGCCCUUCCCGGUGCCCCCUGCUGCUCCUGGAGCAGGGGAGGAGGCGACCCGCGGGUGUCCCCGGCAGGCAGCGGCCGCAGCUCUCGGCUUGGCACGCUCCCGUCACCGACAGGCAGGGAUGGGACCUCUCUGGGUUAUCCCCAACCCCAUCUCGGUGGCAGCUCCUCUCCCCAUCCCACAUGGCCGUGUCCAGCUCGCUGGGAGGAGGAUCGGCACCUCCGCAGUGUUUCCUUGGAAAAGCCCCGCGGGCUUGGGCGCUGCUUGCGAGGACGGGGGAUCCGUGCACGGAAAAAACCUGCAACGUCUUGUCCUUAAUCCGUCUGCUGGGUUCGCUCCCGCGUGGAGCCGGUGCCUGCUGUGACAGGCAGAGCCUCUGCUGUGGCAAGAGCACCUGGGUGCCCUGCAAACAGCGGGGCACAGCCAGCCCGCGGGAGCUGCAGGACACCGAGGGAAGGGCGUCAGGGAGCGAUAAAGCUCUCAAGUACGGAAAGAGGAGGUGUUGGUGGCCCAGCCCUGGUCAUACGUGCCACCGGUGUCACCCUCUGCGGCCCCGGGUGACUUUCCAGGCUCUGCCCGCAGCCCUCUCCCGCCCUGCGCUCCCCAUCUGGGAUGUUCCCGCCCGGAUCCGGCUCCUGGCUGGGGAAAGCUGUUAUUUACCUUCAAACCUGUUUGGUGGCUUCUCCGG